GGUUGUGGCUCAGUGGUGGGGUGCCAGCCUGGCAUGCGCGAGGCACUGGAUUCGAUCUUCAGAACCA
rnacentral:tRNA from 1 species